UCAAAAUACAGUAUUACCGUGGUUAAACAUCUUUCUCCUUUCCCUUUUGUCUUUUUGCAGAAAUAUGAGCAGUAAUCAUAAAGCCUGGAAAGGAUGUGCUGACCGAAGUCUUUAUGAGAUUUUUAAUGAGGAUUAGGAAAUCUGAGAUAGCAAAAUCUACUGUAUACAAAGAGGUUGUUGUGCAUGAAUCUUCAGACAAGUUUUAGAUCAGAAUCCUUUGUCAGCAACAGUAGGAUCCAGGAUAUCACAUGUAUGGAAAGUAAAACUGGUGGAUCAAAAGACAACAUAAGAAAAGCGGGCUGGAUGCUCUAUUUCCAUCUUACAGCUGGUUAGAAACAAGCAAGCUGUUAGUUACAAGUAAAUUGGCCCCUUGUGACAGCACCCUCAAGAUGCGCAGAAGCAACGACUCCAGAAUGUCAUGUCAGGUCUGAAGGAGAUGGAUGGCAGCUGGAAUGGGGGACCAAUGGGAGCAUUUAAACACAGCAGCUACUGAGAGACCAAGUCAGAAAUCAGGAGAAUGAAGAUGAUCAAAGGGGAACAUGAGGGCAUUGGAGUGGGGAGGAGCAGGGACUCCUAUGAAUAAGAGCUGGAUGUAUCCCAGACAGAAGUGUAAUGUCAAGAUGCCUACAAAGCAGAUGCUGGGAACAAAUUACUUUUAAUUUUUUAAUAUGUAUAUCCAGAAUGUAUUAUCAUCAGACUGAGAGAGGGAGCUUAGCCC
rnacentral:lncRNA from 1 species